rnacentral:rRNA from 1 species
AUGAACGCUAGCGACAGGCUUAACACAUGCAAGUCGAGGGGUAACAGGGUAGCAAUACCGCUGACGACCGGCGCACGGGUGAGUAACGCGUAUGCAACCUGCCUAUAACUGGGGAAUAGCUCCCUGAAAGGGGAAUUAACACCGCAUAACACUAUUGAUUCGCAUGGAUUAGUAGUUAAAUGUAGCGAUACAGGUUAUAGAUGGGCAUGCGUGACAUUAGCUAGUUGGUGAGGUAACGGCUCACCAAGGCUACGAUGUCUAGGGGUUCUGAGAGGAAGGUCCCCCACACUGGUACUGAGACACGGACCAGACUCCUACGGGAGGCAGCAGUGAGGAAUAUUGGUCAAUGGGCGCAAGCCUGAACCAGCCAUGUCGCGUGCAGGAAGACUGCCCCCUAUGGGUUGUAAACUGCUUUUAUAGUAGAAGAAACACAUCUACGUGUAGAUGUCUGCCAGUAUACUAUGAAUAAGCAUCGGCUAACUCCGUGCCAGCAGCUGC